rnacentral:rRNA from 1 species
UACGUAGGGUGCGAGCGUUAAUCGGAAUUACUGGGCGUAAAGCGUGCGCAGGCGGUUUGCAAGCCGGAUGUGAAUCCCCGGGCUCAACCUGGGAAUGGCAUUCGGGACUGCAAGGCUGGAGUGCGGCAGAGGAGACUGGAAUUCCUGGUGUAGCAGUGAAAUGCGUAGAUAUCAGGAGGAACACCUGUGGGCGAAAGCGGCUCACUGGACCAUUACUGACGCUGAUGCACGAAAGCUAGGGGAGCAAAACAGG